rnacentral:rRNA from 1 species
AUGCACUAGAGCUUUGUCCUUACGGAAAAGCGCAUUUAUUAGAACAAAACCACGCGGCUUCGGCUGCUUCUUGUUGACUCAGAAUAACUAAGCUGACCGCAUGGCCUUGUGCCGGCGGCGUGUCUUUCAAGCGUCCACUUUAUCAACUUGACGGGAGCAUAAUCGACUCCCGUGGUGGUGACGGAUAACGGAGGAUCAGGGUUCGACUCCGGAGAAGGGGCCUGAGAAAUGGCCACUACGUCUAAGGAUGGCAGCAGGCGCGCAAAUUACCCACUCUCGGCUCGAGGAGGUAGUGACGAGAAAUAACGAGACUGUUCUCUUUGAGGCCGGUCAUCGGAAUGGGUACAAUUUAAACCCUUUAACGAGUAUCAAGCAGAGGGCAAGUCUGGUGCCAGCAGCCGCGGUAAUUCCAGCUCUGCUAAUACAUAGAAUUAUUGCUGCGGUUAAAAAGCUCGUAGUUGGAUUCGUAUCGGUACCUUGGAACCCUUCGGGUGUCUCUAGGUGUUAUCGAUUUAUCGUAAUGUUCGGUUUUGAGUCCUUAACAGGAUUCUUAACAGGCAUUGCAAGUUUACUUUGAACAAAUCAGAGUGCUUCAAACAGGCGUUUUCGCUUGAAUGAUCGUGCAUGGAAUAAUAGAAAAUGAUUUCGGUUCAGUUUUAUUGGUUUUACGGACUGAGAUAAUGAUUAACAGAGACAAACGGGGGCAUUUGUAUGGUCCCGUGAGAGGUGAAAUUCUUGGACCGUGGCCAGACAAACUACAGCGAAAGCAUUUGCCAAGAAUGUUUUUAUUAAUCAAGAACGAAAGUCAGAGGUUCGAAGGCGAUCAGAUACCGCCCUAGUUCUGACCGUAAACGAUGCCAACUAGCGAUCCGCUGAUGGAAAUUAUAUUGCCUUGGUGGGGAGCUUCCCGGAAACGAAAGUCUUCCGGUUCCGGGGGAAGUAUGGUUGCAAAGCUGAAACUUAAAGGAAUUGACGGAAGGGCACCACCAGGAGUGGAGCCUGCGGCUUAAUUUGACUCAACACGGGGAAACUCACCCGGCCCGGACACUGUGAGGAUUGACAGAUUGAUAGCUUUUUCAUGAUUCAGUGGAUGGUGGUGCAUGGCCGUUCUUAGUUCGUGGAGUGAUUUGUCUGGUUUAUUCCGAUAACGAGCGAGACUCUAACCUACUAAAUAGUUGGUACAUACUCUUUGUGUAUACAGCUUCUUAGAGGGAUUUGCGGCGUUCAGCCGAAAGAAAUUGAGCAAUAACAGGUCUGUGAUGCCCUUAGAUGUCCGGGGCUGCACGCGCGCUACACUGGCAAAAUCAACGUGCUUGUCCUACCCCGAAAGGGGCGGGUAAACCAUUGAAAAUUUGCCGUGAUUGGGAUCGGAAAUUGCAAUUAUUUUCCGUGAACGAGGAAUUCCAAGUAAGUGCGAGUCAUCAGCUCGCGUUGAUUACGUCCCUGCCCUUUGUACACACCGCCCGUCGCUGCCCGGGACUGAGCCAUUUCGAGAAAUUUGGGGACCGUUGAUUUAAUUUUUCUAAAUUACUUUGAUGGAAAUCAAUUUAAUCGCAGUGGCUUGAACCGGGC